GACGAACGCUGGCGGCGUGCUUAACACAUGCAAGUCGAACGAUGAACCCGGAGCUUGCUCUGGUGGAUUAGUGGCGAACGGGUGAGUAACACGUGAGUAACCUGCCCUUGACUCUGGGAUAACUGCGGGAAACUGUAGCUAAUACCGGAUACGACCCUCGGCGGCAUCGCCAGGGGGUGGGAAGAAUUUCGGUCAAGGAUGGACUCGCGGCCUAUCAGCUAGUUGGUGGGGUAACGGCUCACCAAGGCGACGACGGGUAGCCGGCCUGAGAGGGUGCCCGGCCACACUGGGACUGAGACACGGCCCAGACUCCUACGGGAGGCAGCAGUGGGGAAUAUUGCACAAUGGGCGCAAGCCUGAUGCAGCAACGCCGCGUGAGGGAUGACGGCCUUCGGGUUGUAAACCUCUUUUAGUAGGGAAGAAGCGAAAGUGACGGUACCUGCAGAAAAAGCACCGGCUAACUACGUGCCAGCAGCCGCGGUAA
rnacentral:rRNA from 1 species